rnacentral:rRNA from 1 species
CUCCUUUGACGUUAGCGGCGGACGGGUGAGUAACACGUGGGUAACCUACCUAUAAGACUGGGAUAACUUCGGGAAACCGGAGCUAAUACCGGAUAAUAUUUCGAACCGCAUGGUUCGAUAGUGAAAGGUGGUUUUGCUAUCACUUAUAGAUUGACCCGCGCCGUAUUAGCUAGUUGGUAAGGUAACGGCUUACCAAGGCGACGAUACGUAGCCGACCUGAGAGGGUGAUCGGCCACACUGGAACUGAGACACGGUCCAGACUCCUACGGGAGGCAGCAGCC